UCCCUCCUCCUCCUCCUCCUCCUCCUCCUCCUCCUCCUAGUCUUCCUUUAUUUCUUUGCUUGGUAGUUUUAUUUUGCUUUGUUUCAUUGAUAUUUUCUCUAGUAUGUUUGCAGCUAGGAAAUCUGCAAGAGUAACGCAAGUGAUACAGAUCAUGGAAAAGGGUUCUCGAGAAUGUUCGAAGUAUUUUCUCAGGGUAAGCACAAUUGCUAGGGACAACUAAUUAAUAGACCAUAAAAGAGUUAAAUUUACUGAUAAUGGAAGAUGCCUAUCCAAGUUCUUAUUUUGCAAGCAAUAUGGAAAUUAUUCACAAAUUUUCUUCAUUAUUUUCUUAAGAAACCCCCAAGAUUAUUGAAGAAGAAGAGAAGAAUCGAGUGGGGGGGAAGAGACUAUUGAUUGAGUCUUCACAGUAAGCCGACAAUAUAGACCGGAAAAUGUGUCUUCUUGCUUUCCUUCUGAAUGAAAAAAAAAAUUAUUAUUAAGCUCAAUUUUCUCAUAUCUUAAUUAAGUGUCGGAAUAUAUAAGAAAUACAAGACAUGAAAUCAAGUGUUAAUAUAUUUUGCUGUCUUUGUGCA